GCCAAGAUGGCGAAUGUCUUGUUGUUUUGGAAGGGGCAGGGGAAAAAAUGGAGGAUAUUGUAAUGUACACAAAGGGAUACAUCGAGCUUGGCCGGGGUUUUUUUAAGAGGAAGAGACCGCCCAGUGGCAGCUCUCCCCGGCCGGGCUGAACCGGCGAAGCACCGAGGGAACAAACUAGGAGUGAGGACGGCGAGAAACAAGACAAGGACUCGAUGUGGGCUGAUAUUCCCAUGCAAACGGUGGCUCCUUCAUGCAGGAUAAAAAGAACAAUGUGGCUUUAAAGGGGCGAUAUGUGAUCAAACCGAGAGAAAUCACCGGCACACAUGCAGGCGCCACAUGAGAAGGCAUUUGUCAGAAGAAAAAGAGAAGCAGGACAGAUCUUCCUCUGGCAACAGGCUGAGCACAGGCCCUCUGACCCAGACUGGCUUUCCAGACGGGGGAAGAUUAUUUCAUUCAACUGGAAAACAACAAGGGGGAGGGGCGACGGGGGAGUUCUUCUUUUUUUUUUACAGAUGGAGUGGGCAACUGCUCCAGCGUGAUGAGGGUGGGUCGGAGUGGAAGGCCGCCAACUCUGCGUGUCACCCAUCUAUUUUUACCAGACGGCCGUUGGAAGCGAGGAGCUGUGCUUGCACGUAUUGAUUUUUGCACAGACACAUUGAGGGAAUACAGAUGCACCCCCCCCCCCCCCCCACGCGGGAUGAUGCCAUUAACCCAACACACUUCCAUCAACUCCAAGACCUGCAACACAAUCCGGGGAUGAGAAGAAAAGGAGGAGGCUGACAUGAGUUCAAGAUGUUUGUGGACUGGCUGGCGUGUGAAGAAGCAACAUGUCGUGUCCUCUCAGCUUACGUGAGGACUUGGAGUGGAACAUCAAGCAGCUCUGAGGAAUGUUGUCUUCUCAUCCUGGGGGAGGAGAGCUUGUGUCCUGCACACCGAUUACCUCCUCCUUUGUCUCGGUCACACCUCCAUUAUAACACAACAACAACAAAAAUACAAUGAUAGCCAAUAUUUCAAAAUAAAAGCAUGGAAAUAUGGCACCGCCUUAUGGAACGUUUACAAUGAAAACGCAACAACAAAUAAAAUUGUAGCCAAUAUUUCAGAAUAAAAGCAUGGAAAUAUGACAGUAUUAUGGAACGUUUACAAUGAAAACGCGAAAACAAAUACAAUUGUAGCCAAUAUUUCAGA